AUGCUAAAACUAAUCAUCCCAACAAUCAUAUUACUACCACUAACAUGAUUCUCCAAAAAACAUAUAAUUUGAAUCAACACAACCACUCACAGCCUAAUUAUUAGCACCAUCCCCCUACUAUUUUUUAACCAAAUCAACAACAACCUAUUUAGCUGCUCCCUAUCCUUCUCCUCCGACCCCCUAACGACCCCCCUCCUAAUACUAACUACCUGACUUCUACCCCUCACAAUCAUGGCAAGCCAGCGCCACCUAUCCAACGAACCACUAUCACGAAAAAAACUCUACCUCUCUAUGCUAAUCUCCCUCCAAAUCUCCUUAAUUAUAACAUUCACAGCCACGGAGCUAAUCAUAUUUUAUAUCUUCUUCGAAACCACACUUAUCCCCACCCUAGCUAUCA
rnacentral:lncRNA from 1 species